GGGGAUUUAGCUCAGUGGCAUAAGCGCCUGCCUUGCAAGCAGGAAUUCAUGAGUUCGAUCCCUG
rnacentral:tRNA from 1 species